rnacentral:rRNA from 1 species
UACGUAGGGUGCAAGCGUUAAUCGGAAUUACUGGGCGUAAAGCGCACGUAGGCGGAUUUGUAAGUCAGGGGUGAAAUCCCGGGGCUCAACCUCGGAACUGCCUUUGAUACUGCAAAUCUCGAGUCCGGAAGAGGUGAGUGGAAUUCCUAGUGUAGAGGUGAAAUUCGUAGAUAUCAGGAGGAACACCGGUGGCGAAGGCGGGUCUCUGGGCCGAUACUGACGCUGAGGAGCGAAAGCGUGGGGAGCGAACAGG